GUUUGAUCCUGGCUCAGGAUGAACGCUGACAGAAUGCUUAACACAUGCAAGUCUUUGGCGAAUCUGUGCUUGCACAGCCAAGCCAAGGCGGACGGGUGAGUAACGCGUAAAGAACUUGCCCUGCAGACAGGGAUAACAGACGGAAACGACUGAUAAUACCUGAUACAAUUGCCAGCACGCAUGUGCCCGGCAAUGAAAAGUAAUGCUGCAGGAGAGCUUUGCGUCCUAUUAGCUUGUUGGUGAGGUAACGGCUCACCAAGGCGAUGAUAGGUAGCCGGCCUGAGAGGGUGAACGGCCACAAGGGGACUGAGAUACGGCCCUUACUCCUACGGGAGGCAGCAGUGGGGAAUAUUGGACAAUGGGGGCAACCCUGAUCCAGCAAUUCUGUGUGCACGAAGAAGGUUUUCGGAUUGUAAAGUGCUUUCAGCAGGGAAGAAGAAAGUGACGGUACUUGCAGAAGAAGCGACGGCUAAAUACGUG
rnacentral:rRNA from 1 species